rnacentral:piRNA from 1 species
UGAUAAGAAUUCCGCAAAGCCAAGCCACUA